UAAAUUCACAGUUUACAAAUUUACAGGGGAGGAAUUGUGGUGGCUUUCCAAGACUAGUCCCUUUUACAUACUGUGACCUAGUUAGAUCUCAUUUCUUCUGAUCAUUCGCUUGUCUUAUAUUUCGGGGGGCAGUGUGGAGGGCGGCGACGUCGCUGACCCGCGCGCGGUGUGUGGAGCCUUCUAUUUCAGUCUCUUCACUUUAAUACGUGGUGCCCCGGGACGUUAUCAGAGCCAGCCACAGAUGCCACAUGUAAAGCAGCAAACAUCCGGAGUGGCUUCCUGCAAGCCUUGCUUUUCUCAACACAAGAGAUUUACGCAGGGGGUUGGGGGAAACAACUUUCACAAGUAAGAGCCGAGUACACCGCUCGCAUAGCCGUUCGGGUGCGUUAGCACUGCACGGUCCAGGGUCGCAGGGCUCCUGGCUACUAAUUGCGCUCACGUCCCCGGGUCCUUGGGCCGGACCCGAGGCUCUAAAGGCUGGGCAAGGAAGCGACUAGCGCACCAAGAAGCUGUGCCCGUUGCCAGUUGGGGCCUUUGGUCAGCGGGCGCAGAAAUUAACUCGGGUGUGGACUGCAAAAGGAUCCAUUCAGCUCAUGUGGUCCUCACAUCAGAACACAAUUGCACCCAGCACAGAGUGAACUCUCAUGCGGGUACUCUUUGAAGAUCAGAGAGGGGGCCAGGCCAAGUCCCUCAUGUCCAGAUGGCCACCAGCAGCUCCAGGCUCGGAUUCUCCCAUUUUGCAAACCCAGCAGAAGGAACUCUUGCUGACCAGUAGUUCCCAAGACUGAUUUUCUGUGGGGCUGGUGGAGAUGAAUGGCCAACCCUGAAUCAGUCACUGCACCAGGGGGAUGAUCCCUCUUUCUGCCUUGGAGCUGGCUUAUCAGAGGGGUCAGCCUAGGAUUUAUGAGAUACUCCCUCACACAACCUGAGAAGAAAUUAAGAAACAACUUUUACUUCAGAACUGAAAACUGUCUGGAAAACCAGAGAAGUGCUGAAUGUCACUGUAAAGAAACGAAAAACAGGAGGCGACGUGUGCUGGGCAGAUGGGACAUGGCUUUCUGUGUUUCCGUAGGUAAUUGCAACAGCAUUAAGAAAAUGUGAGAAAGAUAUUAGCAUGGCACAAAUGCCUGUUCAUCUCCGCUUUUAAAUGUCUCUGAGUUGAAUUAAACCACAGUGGUAAUGUAGAGUUUUUCAAAGUAUACAUAAAUGAUAUUUUAGUUUUGCUAGCUAUGAAUUUAAAUAUUUGAUUACUUUUUGAUAUGCCAUUUCUAAAUUACCUCUAAAAUUAAGACCAAAAUAAUAAAUACACAUAAUACUAAUGUUUCAGAAAUGAGCUCCACCAUUACUUACAGUGUGAUCAUACAAACUAACACCUUGUAAUAAUUAGUCACCUUUUGUCAAUAUUUAUUUGAAUAGCCAACAACAGCAUAGAGGAUGUGCAUUGACUGCUAAGCCUAGAAUGCUAGAAAAAUAAGGAAAGGCUGCGCUUCCUUUCCUCGGCGUGAUCUGUCCACCUGCUAUCUGUGGGGAACUUGGCUGCUGAGCGAAUCGCUCUGUUCUAUGUAUAGCUUUGUUGAUUUACAUAGUUCUCCAAAAGGCACACACCCAGGGUUUUGUUUCAAGUGAAUAAUGUUAACAGACAAACUGUCUAAUAAACCUGAAAUGUUCUCCCAGGGGAUGGAGAGAAAGCGAAGAUCCUUGGAUAAUUUCAGUGUUUUCCUUCUUGACCUUGGGUCCGUCUGUCUGAAAUUGACAUGAAGGUUGGAAUCAACCUCUUGGGUUCAGCUAAGGGAUGUGUGGAACGCUGACGGGAAUGAGAUACUCCUACCCCUAGGCUUUUAGGGAGCAGAUGUGUCUUCCUCUCAAGACAGUCUGUGUGGGGUAGAUGAGUUGGCUCUGGACAGCCCUAAAACAAAUCAUAGCUGGCCAGGUGCGAUGGCUCACGCCUGUAAUCCCAGCACUUUGGGAGGCCGAGGCGGCAGAUCACCUGAGGUCGGGAGUUUGAGACCAGCCUGACCAACAUGGAGAAACCCUGUCUCUACUGAAAAUACAAAAUUAGCUGGUUGUGGUGGCACGUGACUAUAAUCCCAGCUACUAGGGAG
rnacentral:lncRNA from 10 species